AGAAAUACCUAGCAGGGAAGACACCAUGAUCACACGGUAGUUUUUCUAGGGAAAGGCUUACCUAUUGCACACUGAAUAGUCUACCUCUGUGAUUUCCCCAAAGUGGGAAACUUGUCUGCAUAAAUUGUGGUAGCUGGGAAUAGCCUACAUUUGUACUCUCCUUU
ensembl:snRNA U1 U1 spliceosomal RNA